AAAAUUUAAUUUUUUUGAUAGCAAAUUUAAAAAAAUUAACUUUUAAAUAUUACCAAACGGAACCUAAUUACUUUUAUUCUCACAAAAAUUAGUGAGAUUUGGUGAUAAACAAAAAUAAUUGGUUGUAUAUUAUUUAUAAUGUCAAAAUUAUCUAUCAAACUAUAAAAGAAGAAAUAUAAAUUCUUCUCGUAUCCAUAUCUCACAUGAUUUGCUUUUUUACUCAUCAAAAUAUGAUAGUGAGAAACCAAAAUUAUAUUUUUUUUCCACCUAGGUGAAAAAGCACUAUCAUCUAUUUUUUUUCUCACUUGUCAAUCUAAACGGGCCCUUAGGAUUUUCAAUUUUUGUCCCAAGAAUCCAGACUCACCUCUUUUUGAUAAACGAAAUUGGAGGAAAAAAGAAAAGUUAUUGUAUUCGCAGUUAAAAUAUUUUUUCUGUAUGCUUUUCCGUCACAAAUCCCUAUCUAAAUUAAGAAUUUGUUGAGAGAAAAUAAAAAGUAAGAAAAACAUAACUUGAAUUUAUGAAGGAAAAUCUCUUGUACUUUCUUUUCUAUCCACAAAUACUUGAUCCAAACACAACCUUAGUAAUAACAAUCUAGGGUAAAUAACAAAAAUUCUCUCUCUAAUUUCACUCGAUUCUCAAUUUCGUUCCUCUAAUAUUAAUUUUGAC
rnacentral:lncRNA from 1 species